rnacentral:rRNA from 1 species
AACGAACGCUGGCGGCAUGCCUAACACAUGCAAGUCGAACGCCAUGGUUUCGGCCAUGGAGUGGCGCACGGGUGAGUAACGCGUGGGAACCUGCCCAGCAGUAUGGGACAACCGCGGGAAACUGCGGCUAAUACCGUAUACGCCCGUCUUUGGGAGACCAGGGGCGGGGAAAGAUUGAUCGCUGUUGGAGGGGCCCGCGUCGGAUUAGGUAGUUGGUGGGGUAAAGGCCUACCAAGCCUGCGAUCCGUAGCUGGUCUGAGAGGAUGAUCAGCCACACUGGGACUGAGACACGGCCCAGACUCCUACGGGAGGCAGCAGUGGGGAAUAUUGGACAAUGGGCGCAAGCCUGAUCCAGCAAUGCCGCGUGAGUGAUGAAGGCCUUAGGGUUGUAAAGCUCUUUCACACGCGACGAUGAUGACGGUAGCGUGAGAAGAAGCCCCGGCUAACUCCGUGCCAGCCGCCGCCGUAAAAC